UUUGGGUUGGCGCCCCAUCAGUAUUGAUUUUGCAGGGUGGAAAUUGGUAACAUGUUUAGCGUGGUCAAAUGCGAUCAUUGACUGGUGUUUGUGAGCAUUAAUGGAGUUCCUAUAGAGCUCUGAUGAGGCCAUGGAUACGGAGCUUGGGGGAAGGAUUAAUGACAUUUUUUACGUGAAUUGUGAUUGCACGACAACAAGCGCAAGUUUGCAAUAUUGUCUCUCCAUUAAACCUAUAUAUAUAUGUUCAAAAAUUUUUUAAAUAGUAAUUAACUUGCUAUUAAUAUGCGCCGGUAACUGCACGCAACAUUAUUAUAUUCUUUAUCAUCAUGAUAGAAUAGUAUUUAAUUUUUAUAGUUCAGAGGACAUAGUCGAAUAAUUUUUGAAGAACUCUUU
rnacentral:lncRNA from 1 species